CUGCAGAAGUCCCCGACGGCGGCAUGUACUUGGAGAAGCUGGGCGACGUUAAAGUGCAAGCUGUUUAUUUGGUUGGCGUUACAAUAUAGAUUGUGGACAUCGGAUAGACGGGCCCGUCAUGGCCUCCAAGACCAACCGUCGCCAUGUUUCACGUGCUUGCAAGCGGAGGACAAUGUUGACCACAUACUGGCCAAGUGCACCUUUGCACAGGAGGUGUGGCAUCAAGUGUUCGACCUGCUCGGCCUCAAUGUUGUAGGAACAACCCCAAACGACACCUUCCCUGUUUGGUGGAUGAGAGAAAGGAAGAAGUUUAGGGGAGCUAACAGAAGAGGGUUUGACACUCUCGUGACGGCGGUGGCUUGGAUACUUUGGAAGCAAAGAAACGCCAGGGUCUUCAACAGACAGGAGAAACAGAAGCCAGCACCCCUCAUUCCCAACCUAGUGCUUGAGGAAAUCACGGCAUGGCAUACGGCAGGGCUUGGAGCGGAACAUCUACAACGUUUUGUGAGGAGUUAG
rnacentral:rRNA from 1 species